CCCUAGUAUUAAUUAAGAAUAUUGGAAUAAUUAAUAAAGAAAAUUAAAAAUUUUGGCGGUUAAAUUAUUAAGUUAGAGGAGCUUGUUUUUAUUAAGAAUUUGCUCUUUGUAUUUAAAUAAAGAAAAGUUUAUUCAUCUCCGUUAUUAGAAUAAUUGAAUAUAAGAGAAACUUUAUAUAUCAGGUCAAGAUGUAGUAUUUUUUGUAUAAGAUUAGCUACAUUUUUAAAAAAUUGGAUUAAAGGGGAUAUAAUUAUAGAAAAUGAAUUUGAUUGUAAUUUUAUUUAAAAUAAUAAAAUGAAUAUGUAUAAUUAAUGUA
rnacentral:rRNA from 1 species